GCCGGGAUGGUGAAAUUGGCAAACACAUAGCGUUCAGGGCGCUACGCUCGUAAGGGCUUGAGGGUUCAACUCCCUCUCCCGGCA
rnacentral:tRNA from 1 species